GAUGAAGAACGCAGCGAAAUGCGAUAAGUAGUGUGAAUUUCAGAAUUCAGUGAAUCAUCGAAUCUUUGAACGCACAUUGCGCCCCUUGGUAUUCCAUGGGGCAUGCCUGUUCGAGCGUCAUUUGUACCUUCAAGCUCUGCUUGGUGUUGGGUGUUUGUCUCGCCUCUGCGUGUAGACUCGCCUUAAAACAAUUGGCAGCCGGCGUAUUGAUUUCGGAGCGCAGUACAUCUCGCGCUUUGCACUCAUAACGACGACGUCCAAAAGUACAUUUUUACACUCUUGACCUCGGAUCAGGUAGGGAUACCCGCUGAACUUAAGCAUAUCAAUAAGCGGAGGA
rnacentral:misc_RNA from 1 species